rnacentral:rRNA from 1 species
CCUACGGUGGCAGCAGUGGGGAAUAUUGGGCAAUGGGCGCAAGCCUGUCCCAGCAACGCCGCGUGUAGGAAGAAGGCUUUCGGGUUGUAAACUUCUUUUCUGAGGGACGAAGCCAGUGACGGUACCUCAGGAAUAAGCCACGGCUAACUACGUGCCAGCAGCCGCGGUAAUACGUAGGUGGCAAGCGUUAUCCGGAUUUAUUGGGUGUAAAGGGCGUGUAGGCGGGAAAGCAAGGCCAAUGUGAAAACUCAGGGCUCAACCCUGAGCCUGCAUGUGAAACUGGUUUUCUUGAGUGCUGGAGAGGCAAUCGGAAUUCGGUGUGUAGCGGUGAAAUGCGUAGAUAUACGGAGGAACACCAGUGGCGAAGGCGGAUUGCUGGACAGUAACUGACGCUGAGGCGCGAAAGCGUGGGGAGCAAACAGGAUUAGAUACCCCGGUAGUC